UUGAAAAUAAAUUUGAAUUAAAAAUAGUGUAAGAGAAAAUUACUUUAUUGCAAAAAAGCGUGGGGUGCUUAAUAACCGAAUCGCUAUCUUCUUCUGCAUCACAUAAUCAUCGGACUGUCAUCUCGAAGAACACCUUAUAGUCAUUCUACAACACAAAUCAAAAAAGACCCUCCGUUAAUCCAGUAGAAACCUAUCAAACCAAUGAUGUUAUAGUAAAAAGAGGUAGAUAAGUUACUUGAGUUCGUAAAGUGGCGCCGUAAAACUGAGCUAAUUAGCGCACUCAAGCUUAGUCUCGUGAAAGCAUUGGUUUCCGGCAAAUGUAUUAAGAUGUAACCAAUGGAUAAAUAUUGUACGUAGACAAAGACAUGAAGAGGAUUGGCGGCCAAAUAAUAAUGAACUAAAUGAAAAUAAAAAAAUAAAAUUAUUUGUC